UGAGGAAUAUUGCGCAAUGGGGGCAACCCUGACGCAGCAACGCCGCGUGAGUGAGGAAGGUUUUCGGACCGUAAAGCUCUGUCGAGCGGGAAGAAAUGCAUGGUGGCUAAUAUCCAUCAUGCUUGACGGUACCGCUAAAGGAAGCACCGGCUAACUCCGUGCCAGCAGCCGCGGUAAUACGGGGGGUGCGAGCGUUGUUCGAAAUUAUUGGGCGUAAAGAGCGUGUAAGCGGCCGAAUAAGUCAGAUGUGAAAUCCCUGGGCUUAACCCAGGACGUGCAUUUGAAACUAUUCGGCUGGAGUAGGGGAGAGGAAAGUGGAAUUCCUGGUGUAGAGGUGAAAUUCGUAGAUAUCAGGAGGAACACCGGUGGCGAAGGCGACUUUCUGGCCCUAUACUGACGCUGAGACGCGAGAGCGUGGGUAGCAAACAG
rnacentral:rRNA from 1 species